rnacentral:rRNA from 1 species
GACGAACGCUGGCGGCGUGCUUAACACAUGCAAGUCGAACGGAAAGGCCCUGCUUUUGUGGGGUGCUCGAGUGGCGAACGGGUGAGUAACACGUGAGUAACCUGCCCUUGACUUUGGGAUAACUUCAGGAAACUGGGGCUAAUACCGGAUAGGAGCUCCUGCUGCAUGGUGGGGGUUGGAAAGUUUCGGCGGUUGGGGAUGGACUCGCGGCUUAUCAGCUUGUUGGUGGGGUAGUGGCUUACCAAGGCUUUGACGGGUAGCCGGCCUGAGAGGGUGACCGGCCACAUUGGGACUGAGAUACGGACCAGACUCCUACGGGAGGCAGCAGUGGGGAAUAUUGCACAAUGGGCGGAAGCCUGAUGCAGCAACGCCGCGUGCGGGAUGACGGCCUUCGGGUUGCAAACCGCUUUCGCCUGUGACGAAGCGUGAGUGACGGUAAUGGGUAAAGAAGCACCGGCUAACUACGUG